AACGAUGUGAAUCCGUGGCUUGGGCCAAAUGGACUAUCUCACCGAGCCGUGGAACCUGUCUGCAGCCUCUCCUGCCGUUUCCGCGGCGGAUGGCUUCCUGCCCCUUCGGCGCGGGCGCCGGCGGCAGCCGCGGCUAGCCCCUUCCCACGCCAUCAGCUGCGCGGGUACCCUUGGACGACUGGUGCCACUCCGUAAACCAGGUCGGGUAACUUCGCCGAGUUCCGUAUGAUGUCGCUGGUUCUUUGGUAGUGCUGUUCGUUUGGAUGUGUCAGUGUACUGAUAUCGAUUUAGGAGUUCGGUUUCAACUGUAGGUGUUCAAAUCUCCGUUUCGAUUGCGUUUCCAGUUAGUUGUUCCAUUCUGGGUGGGAAUUUUUAUCAUUUAAGACGGUUGUAGGACACAGAAGAACCAUUUGGACGCUGAGUACUCGGGCUGUAUGCCUGCAUCAGCUAUUUUGAGCGAUUUUCCCCCAAGAUCUAUCAGUUUGAGCGAUUUUUCCUGCCAUUUCAUUUAGACUAAGGUGGAAUGAGCUCGACGGCAAACAUGCUGAUAUGCAGAGUGUUGUAUAUUAUGGAAUUUUUAAUGUGUGAAAUCUUUCUGUGAGCUGAAUCUAGCAGUUGGCCGAGCCUCCUUUCCUUUGCUUAGCCCAGGCCCGUGGCCUCCCUGUAUUUGGAGUAGCCGGCUGCUAGGGUUCACGAGAGAGGGCUCCAGAAGAGGAAGAGGGGUGCAUGGAUUGUGCUUGAGGUGGCGGCGAAACGGUCGUAGCUGAGAUCCUCUCACGCCCGUGGGAGGCUCAAGGCGCACCUGAUUCGGAGGAGAGGGUCCGAUCCUCGUGCGUGUGGGUGAGUGCUGUUGCACUUUAUUUUCUCCUCUCCUUCUCCUGGAUGAACACAAAUUGAUACAUAUUUUUCUUUCUCCUCUCUCUUUCUUCUCGGUUUUGCAUCGGUGAGUUGGAGCUCUGGGUCUCCUUGUGCUUGGUCGGUGCAAUUUGGUGCUGGAAGAGAAGGUUGGUGGUGUCCGAAGUUGCAUAGCCGAGGCUUGCUCACAUAUGUCGAUUGUAGUGUGGUGGGGCAUUGUAUCUCCGUCUUACUCCUAUAUGGCGGCAAUGGUGGGUGAUAGGAUUUCUAGGACGACGACCUUCGAGUCGUGUCUUACCUCUCUUGUUCACUCCUUUCGUCAAUUCUCGCUAUGAGUUUUACUCUAUUUCACACUGAACAACAUGGUUGUAUAUUCUUGUUACUCGAUGAUGAUUACAUAUAUUGAGAUUGAACUAGCAAGUUGAGUACAAUAGAUGAGAUCUUGAGUAGCUCUCUGUUUUUUGGAUGAUAUAGGCAGUAACUGUUUUGGCACUUUGAUUCCAUUUUGAUUGGUUCUACAUACAGAUUUUGAUGUCUUGUUAUCUCUCAAUUCUCUGCCUAGUUGUGUUAAGCUCCUGGACAUGUGUUGUGGCUCUCUAUAACUCGAGCUUGAUCUGCUUGGUUGAUUUAGGGAACAGCAAUAUACAAUUUUGUCUUAGUAAUUGGGGUUUUGAGCCCAGCUAGUCUGUUGUGCUGCUGGACUUAUGUUAUAUAGGUACUUGUUUCCUUUUCCCAGUGCGCAUGCACAUGCUUAGAAGCCUUAUCCAAGAUGCUUUUGUAAUUUCAGAGAAAUUUUGCUCAUGAUCUUAAUCUAGGUGUGACCUCAUUUGCUAAUCCAAUCUGUGAUAUGAAUAUAGAAUAGCUUGGGAGCAGACUUUCAUAAUUCUGGAGCUAGCUAUUAGAAUCCUCUGAGAGCAAAUUUUAACAUUACACUUUGUUGUUUAGUAUUGUUCUUUAUAUACAUGAUGAAUGAUAUAUUAGUUCAUGAACUGGUGCUUCAUUUUUGCAAUAUCAUGUAUGCUAUUUUUUUGCUCUUGUUAUGUUAUUUGCGGUAUAUGGAUAUAUAUGCUAUUAUAAUCGCACUUUUACAACAAUCCAGAAAUCCUAUAGCUUCUGUGAUGGUUAGCUCUGGCUCUUCUGCCUUACCACCAUCUUCCUCAAACGUGAUUAAGCCUGAGAGUUUCGAUGGAACCCGUUUUAAGCGCUGGCAGGCCCGGACGAGGCUGUGGUUGAUAGAGCUCGAAUUAUUCUAGGUCACCACCGAAGAGUCGCCUGCCCCUCCGGGGGAAUCCUUGAUAGACGAGGUCGAAAGAACGUGUCUCGACGCUUUAAGGGCCCGUUGGGAGAAGGCUAAUGCCUUAGCCUUAGCACGCCUCUUGGUCAUCCUAUCGAACAGGCUCUUUGACGUCUAUGUAGGGUUCGGGGAAGCACGGAAGGUGCAGACGGAGCUGAAUGACAAGUAUGCUGAAAGUGACAAUGGCAAUGAGUCCUUUAUGGUGGCAACGAGUUAGAUGGGAGAUGGCAGAUCAGUCAUGGAACAGAUCUAUGAGUUGCAGCUGAUCGUGCAAGACAUAGGCCCGUAUGGCUAUGUCCUCCCUGAGAACUUUCAGAUUAAUGUCAUUCUGGCCAAGCUGCCUACUUCUUGGCGUGACUUUAUCACUGAACGUUGGCAUAUAAAGCAAUGAUUGACUCUUAAUGAGCUCAUUGCUUCUAUAAAUAUCGAGGAGAAGUCUAAGGUAGGCUAUAGUGGGGUUAAGGCGUCCGCUCAAGCUAACCUUGUCGAGCAUAAGAACCAGCCUAGGAGGAAUGUGAAGAAAGAGCAGACCAAGCCUGGCUUUUUGGGACUGAAGGCUAAUGCUACGAAGAAGAAGAAGCGGCGGAUUGGAUCACAAGUCCAACAGAUGUCGCAAUCGUAAGGGCAAGGGACCGACACUUGAAGAGCAGAAGACAACCAAAGCCCAAGUGCAUGUGGCGGUUGCAACGGUCGAUGAUACUGGCAAAGGGUGCAGAUGGUGGAUCCGUUCUGAUGGGGAAUGAGGUUUCAGCAGCAGUACACAGAGCAGGACAAGUGAGCCUGAAGCUGACUUCUGGCAAGAUUCUUGUCCUUAAGGACAUACUAUUUGUGCCUGCCAUGACCCGUAAUCUACUCAGCGGGUCAAUGCUGUGCCAGCAAGGAAUAAAGUUAUUCUUCGAGUCAAAUUAAGUAGUGUUGACCAGGUGUGGGUCGUUUGUAGGAGAGGACUAUGAUUGCGGAGGCAUGUUUCUCAUCUCUAUUCUUGAUAGUUAUGCAUACAUUUUAUAUUCUUCAUAUUCUAAUAGAACACUGAUAUUUGGCAUUCACGUCUUUGUCAUGUUCAUAAUGAAGCAAUUGUGCGUUUGAGCUGGAUGGAUCUUAUUCCGUCAUAUAAUUAUGACAAGAGCCAUAAGUGCGAGGUGUGCAUGCAAGCUAAGUAGCCCCGUAAACCGUUUCAUUCGGUUGAGGGGAGAAGCACUACACCAAUUGAGCUGAUCCAUUAUGACCUGUGUGAGAUGAAUGGAAUUGGAAUUUUAACUAAGGGUUGCAAAAGAUACUUCAUUACUCUUAUAGAUGAUGCUACUAGAUUUUGCUAUAUCUACUUGCUUAGAACAAAAGAUGAAGUGUUUGCCACCCUUAAAGCAGUGAUUGACUCUUAAUGUGCUCAUUGCUGUUAUAAAUGUCGAGGAAAAGUCAAAGGAAAGCUAUGCUAGGUUGAAAGCACCCGCUCAAGCUAACCUUGUCGAGCAUAAGAACUAGUCUGAGAGGAAUGUGAAGAAAGAAAAGACCAAACCUGGUUUUUCAGGACUGAAGGCUAAUGCUAUGAAGAAGAAGAAGAAGCCCGAGAUUGUCUGCUACGUCUGCGGCGGGUUGGAUAACAAGGCCAAUAGAUGCCACGAUCGUAAGGGAAAGGGGCCGACACCUGAACAGCAAAAGGCAGCCAAAGCCCAAAUGCAUAUGACAGUUGCAACGAUCGAUGAUAUCAGCAAAGGCGACUCCACUAGUGAGGUGCAAAUGGUGGAUCCGUUCUGAUGGGAAACGGGGUUUCAGUAGCAGUAUGUGGAGUAGGACAAGUGAGCCUAAAGCUAACUUCUGGCAAGACUCUUGUCCUUAAGGACGUACUGUUUGUGUCUGUCAUGACCCGUUAUCUACUCAACGAGUCAAUGACAUGCUGAUAAAGAAUAAAAUUAGUCUUCGAGUCAAAUAAAGUAGUGUUGACUAGGUGUGGGUCAUUUGUAGGAAAUAGCUAUCAUUGCGGAGGCAUGUUCUGCAUUUCUAUUCUUGAUAGUUCUGCAAACAUUUUUUAUUUUUCAUAUUUUAAUAAGAACAUUGAUAUUUGGCAUUCACGUCUUUGUCAUGUUAAUAAUGAAGCAAUUGUGCAUUUGAGCAAGAUGAAUCUUAUUCCCUCAUAUAAUUAUAACGACAGCCAUAAUUGGGAGGUGUGUGUGCAAGCUAAGCAGCCCCACAAACUGUUUCAUUCAGUCGAGGGGAGAAACACUUCGCUACUUGAGCUAAUCCAUUCUGACCUGUGUGAGAUAAACGGAAUUGGAAUUUUAACUAAGGGUGGAAAAACAUACUUCUUUACUCUUAUAGAUGAUGCUACUAUUUGCUUAAAAUAAAAGAUGAAGCGUUAGAAUACUUUAAGAUCUAUAAGGCCGUAAGGUGAAAAACCAGCUAAGGAAGAGAAUAAAGAGACUGAGGUCUGACAGAAGUGGGGAAUAUAUUCCUAGGGAUUUCUCCAUGUUCUGGGAAGAAAGUGGCAUAAUCUAUGAGUUUACGCCACUAUACUCACCACAGGCCAACAGAGUAGCCGAGAGAAAGAACCGAACAAUUUGUGACUUGGUUAAUGCCUUGUUACAACGUUCUGGUAUGGUUAACUCA